UCAGUCUCACACUCAGAGCUGUUUAUCUCACAUCAACAUGUGACAUUUACUACUCAGGUUCUGGUCAAACAAUGAGGUGCAGAAUUUCUGACUUUCCAAAUAUUCUGAAAACCACUCAUGGACUGGUUUAAACAAAAAGUGUUUGGAAAUAUCUUUAUCUUUGUGUUUCUUUGCAAAGGUCUGCUACCCAUGUGUGUAUCUGAUUAGAGUAACAACAUCCAGCUGCUGCUCAGACAGGCAGGAUGUCUCAGAGAGUGGUUUGGAGCUGAGAUGCAACAUUCCUCCUCAUCAGUACAAGGUUUCAUGAUGACAUUGAGCAAACAUCCCUCUGCUGACGUCUGUGUCUUCUGUUUAACCCAACCGUCCCCUCUCAUUGUGCUGAUGAGGAGGGAGAAAUCACUGCGGAGGUCAUGCUGCAGCUGUUUCUGCCCACUAAAGUAUAGUGGACAGUAAGCAGCUCUGUUAGCUUCACAAGACCAGUGUGAUGGAGCCAAAGCAACACACCAAAAGAGUCAUCUGGGAGGAAGCGUCUCCUUCCGUGGCGUCAUCCUCGCGCCCCGGCCCGGCCUCCCUGUCCCCGUUGCUCAGCUCCAUCUGGAGGUGGUAUCCCUGCUGCCGACCCCUCCGCUGCAGCUCCUCCAGCGUGGCCUCCAGCCGCAGGCGACCGUACCAGGUGUAGCUGUUCUUGGCUAUCCGACCCACAAUAUUCAAAGACUCCAGCACGUUGACGAUGUCGUAGAUGCGCCUUCGCUCCACUCCUGAAAAUUUCAGUGUGCAGAGUAGAGUAUUGACACUUGCUCUUGGAAAAAACCUAAUCCCAAAUAUUUCCACUCUGGGCUUAUCAUGUCAAAGUUUACAAUAAAUGUAUUUCUAAAAAUAA